CCGCCUUCCCUCCUCCUCCGCCGGGCUUUGUGCUGCCCGCAGCCAGCGUGCACCUGGUGUAAGCAAAGCAGACUGGUAGGAUUUUCAGAACUCCCGAAAUGAAUGCUUCCUGAAAGAAAUAUGCUUCCCUGGGGGACCAGACAGCUUUCAGUCCUACUUCUGUGAAGGAUCGGACCCUUGGUAUCUCAAGCCUGAUGCCCUGCCUCCAGCAGUGGCCAAUACUUGAUAUUUCUGAAGAUGGAGAAAAACCUGGAUAAUAUGUCUAUCUAUUUGUGCAAUAGCAGUUUCUGAUCUGAGCCAAGGUGUAUGAUCUCAAAAGAGGAGAACUUACAAUACAGAAAGUACUGAAAACUGCAGUAAACCUGUGUAUUGCAACCACAGGUCCUGUUUCACUGUAUACCUGUCCUGUUUCCUGUAUACCAAAGAGGUCAGAAUAAUUAUCUGGAUUUCUGUUGUCCAUGGUUCUGAGGAGUUUACAGCUGUUCUUUCUCCCUCUCACGUGGAACAUCCACAAACACCCUCCUGUCCAGGAAGUUGCAUACCAAUGUUACUUUUACUAUCUCCUAUAAGUGUGUCACCAGCCACCUUUAGUGAACUUCCUGUAUGGUCCUUUGAAACACAUUCCAGCCAUUGGACAGGGAGAAGGGAUCAUCACCUGUUCAAAGGUACUUUUGGAGGUAUUUCUACAAAAAGUGUCUGAAGUGGGGAAGCUGGACAUAAUGUUAUGUAUUAUCAUACUGCCUCUGGUACCUAAGAACGACAUUCAUUUGGCUAUUUCAUUAAAUUUGCACCCGAGAACAAGUGUAAGAAUCUGACAAAAAUGAACUUAUUUAUAAAU